rnacentral:misc_RNA from 1 species
GGACCAGGCUUCAUUCCCCCCAACUCAAAGAUUCAAGAGAAACCCUUUAUGGAGAUUAAUUAAUUGCUUGAUGGUUUCGUUAGAUACCAGCAGUCUACUGUAAUUUUUUUCUCUUUCAAGUUUUGCCAAUCUUUCAUCUAAAGUAUGGCCUGAUGAAGAUCAAUAAUACACAUGCAUAUACUAAUUAAGCUAUUGAAGGAAGAAUGUUCAGAUAACCCAAAGUUUUAAGAAGGUUUAUGUUGCUUAUGUUGAAGAUAGAGUUACUUUCCUAGUGGUGACUAGAAUUGGAAAUGUAAUUUCAUUUCUCCUCGAUCAAUAUGCAUCUUCAAUUCCUUGGAAAUUGCAACCAAAAGGACCUUGAAUCUUAUACUAAAC